rnacentral:rRNA from 1 species
AUUGAACGCUGGCGGCAUGCCUUACACAUGCAAGUCGAACGGUAACAGCACUUCGGUGGCUGACGAGUGGCGAACGGGUGAGUAAUACAUCGGAACGUGCCCGAGAGUGGGGGAUAACGCAGCGAAAGCUGUGCUAAUACCGCAUACGAUCUACGGAUGAAAGCAGGGGAUUCGCAAGGACCUUGCGCUCAUGGAGCGGCCGAUGGCAGAUUAGGUAGUUGGUGGGAUAAAAGCUUACCAAGCCGACGAUCUGUAGCUGGUCUGAGAGGACGACCAGCCACACUGGGACUGAGACACGGCCCAGACUCCUACGGGAGGCAGCAGUGGGGAAUUUUGGACAAUGGGCGAAAGCCUGAUCCAGCCAUGCCGCGUGCAGGAUGAAGGCC